UCUUUGUUACCCAUUUGCUGACGCUGUUCCUGUCUAGUUCUAUGCCCGUUCCCUAUUAAAUGUUUGACUCCUCGUACCUGCUUCGCCUCUCCAGCGUCGUUCCUGUGACACCUCCUGUCUCACAUACAGAGAGACUCAUCUCUCCAUCUUCCCUGGUCUCCUAGGCUCCCCUAGAGAAAGAGGAGUACCUUGCAUGGCGUCAGAACCUGGAGGAUGAUAAAGGGCACACUGGACCGCCCCACUGUUUUCCGCUGGACUGGAACUGGAAAGGAGGUCUCUCUGUCUGGAGAUUCCCCUAACCAGGAGGUGGGUUAGCAGCCCUGGGAUUCGUGAGUGUGUAUAUGCACUUCUACUGAUGCUCCCCUUCAGGCAGAUCCACAACCUUCAGGCAGAUCCACAAUCGCCACAAAGUUGUUGUGACUGAAAGAUCGAACACACUGACACCUGUUGUAACCAACCAGCUAGGCACAGUCAACAACGUCAUCCAAGUGAAGAAGACUGACUUUGAGGUGUUUGAUGCAGUUAUGGUGGACUCACAGAAGUGCUCUGAUAUAUCAGGUCAGUGUCCACAACCUGUUUACCCAUGCGUAACACCAGAGCCAUGUAUUAAGAGAGUUGGGCCAUUGAGCUUUCUGCGUUAAUGAUGCAUCUGUAACAUUCUAUGGCAGCCAUGUUAGCACCCCAUUAAUAUUUCAUGCUAUGUAACUGAAUGUCUAGAAUUAGUACAACAUUCUAAAAGUUGGCCCAACUCUCUAAAUAGAGGCUCCACAUAACACUAAUGAGUGUAACCAAGUUAUGCUACUGUAUUGGAAAAUGUCUCCAUGAUGCUAGAAAGUUAGAUGGUAACUGGUAAUAGCAAAAUAUUAACUAGACUUGAUGCAAAAUAUAAACUAUUAACUUGAUGUUCAAUCUCGCAUUGUAUGUACCAUCUGUUUGUGAGUUAGACCUGUCCAGCUCCCCUCCUGGGCCGUACCAUCAGGAUCCUACAUUCCCAAGCAGGAAGGAUAAGUCUCUGCCCAUUCUGUCACUUCACCUGCUACAGGUCAUCCUAAACAAGCACACAGGAAUCUCUGAGUACAAGAUGACAACAACUGAAUCCAAAGCCUCGUAGGAAUAUCAACGAUGAAGACAUGAUAGAGCUGUUCAUGUCAUUGACAGUAAUGUGCAUGCACUGGAGUAAGAUGUUUUCGCUUUCCCUCAUCAGUGUGACCCUGCAUUGCUUCCAGAACCCAACCAUGUCAUGCUCAAUCACCUCUACUCCCUGUCCAUUAAUUAAGGAUGGUGUGAUUGUGAUGGUGCUGAGUGCGACUCAUCGCUACAAGAAGAAGUAUGUCACCACCCUGAUGUAUAAGCCUAUCUGACCAGAGGCCUGUGGCUUCUCAGCCUCUGCCUUCCCACCACAGACACCACUGCUUCACACAGCACAGCCUACACCGUUGUACCUGUAUAUACAGUACCAGUCAAAAGUUUGGACACACCUACUCAUUCAAGG